ensembl:lncRNA
AAGGUGAGACUGAGCUCCAACUUUGGUUUUAGUAAACUAAUUUUUUUGAAUUUAAAAAAAAAAAGUUAUUGUUAAUGGAAACAACAAAAAUUCCAAAUCCAGAUGUAAUUAUAUCCAAGUUUGUAUAAUCCUACAGUUGGGGCAGUAACAUAGGAGAACAAAGGUGACAUUAGUCAUUUUGAGGAUUACCUGAACACUACUUUGGCUACUGGCUCAUGAUUCAGUUAAACAAGUUUGCUUUUCUUGAACUUGACUCUGUGCAUCCAGAAAUGUGAAGGAUAUGAAAGUGAAGGUAUGCAAAGUGGAGAUAUGAAAAUGCUCUGUAGCUACAGCAGUCUGCUGAGAAGAUACAUCUGUCACCACAGCUGUGCCUUCUGCUCCCCAUGAGCUGUAUCUGCUUGGCUGAGCUGAUUUCCUGUCUGUGCCAGCACUGCCUGGCUCUUCUCUAGGAGUGCUGAGGAAGAUCUGUGCUAGUAGAAUCAAAUUGGUGUGUUUAUUUCUCUGUCUCCCUCUGUUAAAAGCAAGAAAUUAAAUGAGCCUGAUCAUACCUGAGAUUCUGGAUGCCUAAAAUUUCACUGAAAAUGUUGAAAGGAUGUGUAGCGUCCUACAAUGAGCUGGCACAGCUUUUCUGCUCCAUGUGCUGGUCUGAAAGUGUGAAUCGUGGAAUAUUCUCCGGAGGUGUUGCUGAGAAAUUGGAAAAACAAAAGAUUUUGGCCCCUUCAAGGAUGUGCUUGGAUUCUCUGUUUGGAUUUAACAAAUUUGCUUCUCUGAAGUUUGCUCAUCUGAACAGCAGCUGUUUGCCAUAUGGAUCAAAACUGCAAAUGAAAUCAUUUCCUCAUGCCCAUCUUAUUUUCAUAUGCAGUCAUAUAUCCGAAUGUUUAAGUCUGUGGAUCUAAUGAGGGUGGUUAAGCUGAGAAUUGUUUAUUUUGAAUUCCAGUUUUCCUCUUUUUUUUUCUUUUUUUUUUUUUUUUUUUCCCCUAAUAGGGUUUUUCUCCUUCAGGAAACAAAAUAAAACAGAACAAAAAUACAAAAACAACUAACCAAGUGUCAAAACUAUAGGUGGUGGAAUAGUGAAGGAAAAAGAAAAUCUUUAAUCUUAAUAAAAUAAACCAAAUAAAAUAUUCAUUAUGAAAUUAUGGCUCCAAGAUUCUUGUAUGUUCUUGACUACUAUCAAUAAGAUCAGUAAAUUAAUUAAGAAAAAAUGAUGAUGAUUGCCUGUUAUAAUACUAGGGCAAGUAAAAUACUGUCAGAGAAGUUCCCUGUUUACUUGUUCAUUAUUUAAGUCUAUUAAACAGGACUGUGCAAGUGUAAAGAAGAAAUACACUUUCCUUUAGUGGGUUAUAAGCCCAUGAACACGUAAUUUUUUGUAGUUGCAGGCUUCUAGUAUGGCUCAUGAAAUGCCGCCAGAGCAGAUUUAAUGCUUUUAAUGAAUAAGCAAAGGCUUACAACACCUCCUGGACAUUAUGGAUAAGUGUUGUUGCAACCAGUAACUAAAGUGUAUGAAGUUAAGAAAUUUAUUCAUGGACAUAACGCAUAUCCAGAUUUGCAUAUUAUGUUCACAUGUUCCCAUAUGGAUUCCUACACUAACAAAGCAAAUCACAGAACAUCACAGUGAUAAUAAAUACAUUAAAAUUAGGUAAAGUUUAAUUGUGUAUUUAUUUAUAACUUCAGUGCAUUGUCUUCAUGACCAUUACACUGGUAUCACUGUCCUCUUGAACUUUUGGCUCAUGACUUCUUAAUCAGAAUCAUAACUACACAGUAAAUAAUCUUCUCUUAUCAUAAGCUUGCUUUUUGUUUUGUUUUGUUUCUGUGUUGUUUUGGUUUUACACUUCUAGUUUUUUUCCUGUCUUUAACGAAGUGUCAAAAUCUGAUAUUUUGAGGAACUAACAUUAAAAAUGUAUUGAAUUACAAUAAUUAAAAUGAUUCACUCUAUUUUAAUUCUUUCUUUUUCCUUCUGUUACACAUUAAUUCUGACUUUCAGUUAAAAUAGCUAGAAAAUUCUUCAAACUAGAAAGUGUCAUUUUAAAUUCUGAUAUCCGUCAAAAAGUUCAGAUUAUUAUAUCAUUUCAGAGCUCUUUAAAAAUAGAAUAAAGAGACUUCUGGAAUGUACUUUUCCUUCAGUUUUAUUUUUUGUUGUCAUUCUGAUUUUAAAAUACAUGACCUACAAAUUCCCAGUCAUUUUUUAAUUGAUGUUGUGACUUGUGUUAGUAGAUUGAUUCAAUAUAUAUGUAUACUGUAUAUGUUUCAAGAGAGAAUUUAUUGAUGUUCUGAAAAUUCAAUGCAUUCAAAAUAACAUUUCAAUCAUAUGAGUGUUUCAAAUCUCCACUUUGGAACUUCUCUCUGAUGUCAUCAGCAGUAAUAAAUUCAACAAAGC